rnacentral:sRNA from 1 species
UUUAUGAAAUUUACAAAAUAAAUGCUGACAAUAAAUACGCAUGCUCCUUUCCUUUCUGUGGUGCCUAAUUAUCUUUAUUUUCUAAAGAAAUACACUCUUUUCAAAUUCCAGCUAGGUUGGAUUAUGGACUGCCUUGGUCUCAUCGAAUCACGA